rnacentral:rRNA from 1 species
CGCAACCCUUAUCCUUUGUUGCCAGCGGUUAGGCCGGGAACUCAAAGGAGACUGCCAGUGAUAAACUGGAGGAAGGUGGGGAUGACGUCAAGUCAUCAUGGCCCUUACGACCAGGGCUACACACGUGCUACAAUGGCGCAUACAAAGAGAAGCGACCUCGCGAGAGCAAGCGGACCUCAUAAAGUGCGUCGUAGUCCGGAUUGGAGUCUGCAACUCGACUCCAUGAAGUCGGAAUCGCUAGUAAUCGUGGAUCAGAAUGCCACGGUGAAUACGUUCCCGGGCCUUGUACACACCGCCCGUCACACCAUGGGAGUGGGUUGCAAAAGAAGUAGGUAGCUUAACCUUCGGGAGGGCGCUUACCACUUUGUGAUUCAUGACUGGGGUGAAGUCGUAACAAGGUAACCGUAGGGGAACCUGCGGUUGGA